AUGCAUGUUUAAGUCCCGUCAACUACACUGGCGAAACUGCGAAUGGCUCAUUAAAUCAGUUAUAGUUUAUUUGAUAGUCCCUUAACUACAUGGAUACCUGUGGUAAUUCUAGAGCUAAUACAUGCUUAAAGCCCCGACUUCGGGAGGGGUGUAUUUAUUAGAUAAAAAACCAAUGCCCUCCGGGGCUCGUUGGUGAUUCAUAAUAACUUGUCGAAUCGCAUGGCCUUGCGCCGGCGAUGGUUCAUUCAAAUUUCUGCCCUAUCAACUUUCGAUGGUAGGAUAGUGGCCUACCAUGGUGGCAACGGGUAACGGGGAAUUAGGGUUCGAUUCCGGAGAGGGAGCCUGAGAAACGGCUACCACAUCCAAGGAAGGCAGCAGGCGCGCAAAUUACCCAAUCCCAAUCCGGGGAGGUAGUGACAAUAAAUACUGAUACAGGGCUCUUUAGGGUCUCGUAAUCGGAAUGAGAACAAUUUAAACCCCUUAACGAGGAACAAUUGGAGGGCAAGUCUGGUGCCAGCAGCCGCGGUAAUUCCAGCUCCAAUAGCGUAUAUUAAAGUUGUUGCAGUUAAAAAGCUCGUAGUUGANCCUUGGGUNNNNNNNNNNNNNNNNNNNNNNNCGGCGUGCACUGGCCCGGCUGGGCCUUUCCUUCUGGGGAGCCCCAUGGCCUUCACUGGCUGUGGGGGGAACCAGGACUUUUACUGUGAACAAAUUAGAGUGUUCAAAGCAGGCCUUUGCUCGGAUAUUUUAGCAUGGAAUAAUAGAAUAGGACGUGUGGUUCUAUUUUGUUGGUUUCUAGGACCGCCGUAAUGAUUAAUAGGGAUAGUCGGGGGCGUCAGUAUUCGGCUGUCAGAGGUGAAAUUCUUGGAUUAGCUGAAGACUAACUACUGCGAAAGCAUUCGCCAAGGAUGUUUUCAUUAAUCAAGAACGAAAGUUAGGGGAUCGAAGACGAUCAGAUACCGUCGUAGUCUUAACCGUAAACUAUG
rnacentral:rRNA from 1 species